rnacentral:lncRNA from 1 species
AAACACCUUCAGAGGAAAACUGUGUAUUUUCCAUGAAAUCGUUGCCUAGGAAACAAUGAUUUCAUCUUAUUUUUGGCAUAGAACUGUAGGUGUAUAAAAGCUCUGAAUCAGUCCGCACACAAGAUGAGUGCUGAUAUUUAUGAAGCCAGCAAGACAGUAUGGGUGCUUCUAAUUUGUGGUCUCCAGAGAGGAAAUUUUGUCUAAGAAUUUUUUUUUGAUAGAUCAGUUGGACAAGAACAUCCCUUCAAGUUACUAGAAGAAGAAUGGACCUUUUUGAUGUCACUGUUAUUCCAGAAAGAAUCUCUGGCAUGCUCCCCACCAGCUAACGUCAGAAAGAAAAGGGGGCCCUUGCAAAAAUCACUCCAGCAAAAAAAAGUUAGAGACCAAGACAUGACUGCAAGCACAAAGGUGGACAUAUGCCCAAGACUUGCCAAUCAUUUUAUCCCCUGAACCUAGACAUUAUGGUCAUCUGGUCAUAAAAUGUGUUCAAAGAUAAAUGCCUCCAUUGCCUUCCAAUAAAUCCCUCUUCUACCUAUUUUAUUAAUUUAUU